GCGUAACGCGUGGGAAUCUGCCCCGUGGUGCGGAACAACCCAGGGAAACUUGGGUUAAUACCGCAUGCGCCCGACGGUUUUGGAGAUCGUCGGGGAAAGAUUUAUCGCCAUGGGAUGGGCCCGCGUCGGAUUAGCUUGUUGGUGGGGUAACGGCCCACCAAGGCGACGAUCCGUAGCUGGUCUGAGAGGACGAUCAGCCACACUGGGACUGAGACACGGCCCAGACUCCUACGGGAGGCAGCAGUGGGGAAUCUUGGACAAUGGGGGCAACCCUGAUCCAGCGAUGCCGCGUGAGCGAAGAAGGCCUUAGGGUUGUAA
rnacentral:rRNA from 2 species